rnacentral:lncRNA from 1 species
AGAAACAGAAACAAACAGCAACAACAACAACAACAAAAACAAUGCAUUUAAUUAAAUGAAGAUGAGCUCAUGCUGGAGUAGGGUGGACUCUGAACCCAGUGGGACAAGCGUCCUUAUUAAGAAGAGGGAAAUCUGGACACACACAGAGCAGAGACCGCCGUGUGAAGAUGGAGGCAGAGAUCGGAGAGAUGCUGCCACACGCCACAAAUGCCUGGGGCUCCCAGAAACUACACGGAGCCUCCCCCAGCGGCUUCAGCAGGAGCAUGGCUCGGCCAACACUUUGAUCUUGGUCUUCCAGCCUCCAGAACGUUUUCCUAAAAUUCCCUUUUCCACUGGUGUGUGGUGCAAGAUGAGGCACAUUUUCCAUGGAUGGUGAACAGAGGGAGGAGCCUUUUGAUCACAACCAGGUCACCCCACUUCUAAGCCACUGUGCCUCCAGCCCCACAAGACUAAGGAGAGAGAGCGCAGCGUGGUGGAGAGUGAGCUGUGCUGGGACCAUUGUUUCCGUAACCUCGUUUUCUGUGUCCAGCUGACACACCUUCAAAGUGGCAUCAGGUCCUAAACUGUAGCUUGCAAUGUGCCUGUUUCCAGAAACCAAGGUGAAAGUGCUUUUAGACAGUGUUCCCAUGCAAGAGUCCCUUCCCAGCUUUUUUCUGGAAAUGCAUGUUUCUCUGAACUCUGAGUCCCAAGAAAAAUCACUUGAGACACCAAGAAAAUGGGGGAAGUGCUAAAAUUGUGUGGGAAUUCAAGCUUAACAAUAAACAUCAAGACAUUUUUGAUAAAAAUGAAUCCACUGACAUCGGGGAGGAGCAAGAGAACAGCACGCUGACACUGGGUCAGAGGCUAAGACCGACAUUUCUGGGAACCACUCCCGGAAGGGCACAGAGGAGACGCUUUCAGCCUCUCAUCAGCCAGCCUGGCCUGUAGCUGCUGCACGUUAUGAGUGUGUUCCUGGCAUGACUGCUUCUAACAAAGAAAUGCUGAGGCAGUGUCACGCUGGUGUCUGUCCUCCUUACAGAAUGCCUGAACAGUUCCAUUGACUCAAAGUGAAGAUCAAAAGAACCAAAUGACAGCAAUAGCCAAGUGUAAUCAUCAGUAACCCUGUGUUCUAUCCACAGUUAAAAGAAUAUUGGCAGAGAAACAGCCUUGGUGUUCCAGCAGGAGUGAAGAGGAACAGGAAAACGAGUGGCAGUAGCCCUGAAACAGCCACUUCUGGUGGUUGCCACUCACCUGAGGAUGUGAGUCUUGGCAGGCCAGGCUUCUGGGGACAGGGGGCCCAAGGCACAGUAGACGGUAAUUUUUAAGAUUAUGGAUGGACUGUUGGGUACUGGUUAAGAAUUCUGGGUUUGGCCAGGCACAGUGGCUCAUGCCUGUAAUCCCAGCACUUUGGGAGACUGAGGCCGGUGGAUCACGAGCUCAGGAAAUUGAGACCAUCCUGGCUAACA